AAGGAGUCUGACAUGUACGCGAGUACUUGGGUGUCAAGCCUAUGUGCGCAAUGAAAGUAAACAUGGUGGAAUAUUUGCACCGUCGACCGGUCUGGAUAUGUUGGAAAGGGCUGGGUAAGAGCGUAUCUGCUGGGACCCGAAAGAUGGUGAACCAUGCCUGGAUAGGUUGAAGCCAGAGGAAACGCAGGUGGAGGCUCGUAGCGAUUCUGACGUGCAAAUCGUUCGUCAAAUUUGGGUAUAGGGGCGAAAGACUAAUCGAACCAUCUAGUAGCUGGUUCCCUC
rnacentral:misc_RNA from 1 species